rnacentral:piRNA from 1 species
CUAGAUAGUCAAGUUCUGAUCCA